UGGGGAAUCUUGCGCAAUGGGCGAAAGCCUGACGCAGCGACGCCGCGUGCGGGAAGAAGGCCUUCGGGUUGUAAACCGCUUUCAGGAGGGACGAAGCCACUCGGGUUAAUAGCCCAGAGGGUGACGGUACCUCCAGAAGAAGCCCCGGCUAACUACGUGCCAGCAGCCGCGGUAAUACGUAGGGGGCAAGCGUUGUCCGGAUUUAUUGGGCGUAAAGAGCGUGUAGGCGGCCAGAUAGGUCGGUUGUGAAAACUGGAGGCUUAACCUUCAGACGUCGACCGAAACCAUCUGGCUAGAGUCCGGAAGAGGAGAGUGGAAUUCCUGGUGUAGCGGUGAAAUGCGCAGAUAUCAGGAAGAACACCCGUGGCUAAGGCGGCUCUCUAGUACGGUACUGACGCUGAGACGCGAAAGCGUGGGGAGCGAACAGGAUUAGAUACCCCUGUAGUCC
rnacentral:rRNA from 1 species